rnacentral:rRNA from 1 species
CAGCCGCCACGGUAAUACGGAGGGGGCUAGCGUUGUUCGGAAUUACUGGGCGUAAAGCGCACGUAGGCGGCUUGGUAAGUUAGAGGUGAAAGCCCGGAGCUCGACUCCGGAAUUGCCUUUAAGACUGCCGAGCUAGUAGGUGAGAGAGGUAAGUGGAAUUCCGAGUGUAGAGGUGAAAUUCGUAGAUAUUCGGAAGAACACCAGUGGCGAAGGCGGCUUACUGGCUCAUUCUAGACGCUGAUGUGCGAAAGCGUGGGGAGCAAACAGGAUUAGAUACCCCCGUAGUCCCUGUCUCUUAUAC